CAGAGGUAUUUCUUAGUAGAUAAGAACAUUAUUUACACCCAGCCUUAGAAAGGAAAGAAGAGGUUGUCAGUGAGCUACAACCUUUAUUGUACCUGUUAUCGUUUGCAUGGCAAAGGCGCUUCACCGUGCUCAGACCCCAUCCUGAAGGGCCAAGGAUGUUGUGGGGCCUGCACUGCCUGCCUUAGCUCUGAGCUCUGAAAGGGCUGGAGAUGUGCACCAGAGCUGGGGGAGGGAGGGCCAGAAGGACAAAGUACAGCUUUAUUCUCCAGCUGCUUUCUGAUAUCAUGAAGGUAACCAGGAGGGAAGUCUGUAUGAAAUGCUCCUUUCCAAUGGCAGAUUCCCCUGUCUGCACCAUUCCCUGGACAGAACCACUUGGACAAUCAAACCAAGAGCAAGGAUCCUGCAAACAGCUUUUCUCUUCCUUGCGGACAACUGAUGAGCCAGAUUGUCUACCAAGGUCCUGAUGCCAGCUGCUCUGGCCUCCCCUCACCCUCUGCCCUUUUGUGUGGGGUGGCUCUGUGGGCAACCUGUGCACCUCACCUGUGAGAAACAGCCCCAAGAACAUGGGAGUAGGAUAAUAAAGUCAGGCAACCAUCAAAGAUCUCCA
rnacentral:lncRNA from 1 species